rnacentral:rRNA from 1 species
GACGAACGCUGGCGGCGUGCUUAACACAUGCAAGUCGAACGAUGAAGCAAAGACUUGAAGCUUCGGCAGAAAUUCAUUUCGGAUUAGUGGCAGACGGGUGAGUAACGCGUGAUCAACCUACCUCUUACAAAGGGAUAGCCUCGGUAAACCGGGAUUAAUACCAUAUAACAUUGCGACGAAGCAUUUCGAUUCAAUCAAAGCUACGGCGGUAAGAGAUGUGCUCGCGUCCCCUUAACCAGAUGGUGAGGUAACGGCUCACCAUAGUAACGAUGGGUAACCGGGAUGAGAGGGAGAACGGUGACACUGGAACGGAGACACGGUCGAGAAUCCUACGGGAGGCAGGAGAGGGGAAUAUUGCAAAAUGGAGGGAACGCUGAUGCAGCGACGCCGGGAGAGUGAUGAAGGAAGUCGUGAAGUAAAACUCUGUUAUAUGGGAAGAAAAGGACGGUACCAUAGGAGAAAGCUCCGGCUAAAUACGUG